GGAAUGGCUUGUAUAUUACAACAUUGCUUUAGCUUUGUUCUCAUCAGUAAAGUAAUUUUUAUUAGAAUCUCCAGGCAUUUUGGAGAUUUAAUAAUUUAUAUGUAAGUUUCGACAUUAGCUUCUUGGCAAGUAAUAGCAUUUUGGAAAAAGCACUUCGUCUCUAAAUGAUUAUUAAUGAAUUAGCUUCUUGAAAUUAGCUUCUUGG
rnacentral:misc_RNA from 1 species